UACGUAGGGGGCUAGCGUUGUCCGGAUUUAUUAGGCGUAAAGAGCGUGUAGGCGGCCAUGUAGGUCCGGUGUGAAAACUCGAGGCUUAACCUCGAGAUGACAUCGGAAACCAUUUGGCUAGAGUCCGGAAGAGGAGAGUGGAAUUCCUGGUGUAGCGGUGAAAUGCGCAGAUAUCAGGAAGAACACCAAUGGCGAAAGCAGCUCUCUGGGACGGUACUGACGCUGAGACGCGAAAGCGUGGGGAGCGAACAGG
rnacentral:rRNA from 1 species